rnacentral:rRNA from 1 species
AACGAACGCUGGUGGCAGGCUUAACACAUGCAAGUCGAGCGCCCCGCAAGGGGAGCGGCAGACGGGUGAGUAACGCGUGGGAAUCUACCGUGCCCUACGGAAUAGCUCCGGGAAACUGGAAUUAAUACCGUAUACGCCCUACGGGGGAAAGAUUUAUCGGGGUAUGAUGAGCCCGCGUUGGAUUAGCUAGUUGGUGGGGUAAAGGCCUACCAAGGCGACGAUCCAUAGCUGGUCUGAGAGGAUGAUCAGCCACAUUGGGACUGAGACACGGCCCAAACUCCUACGGGAGGCAGCAGUGGGGAAUAUUGGACAAUGGGCGCAAGCCUGAUCCAGCCAUGCCGCGUGAGUGAUGAAGGUCUUAGGAUUGUAAAGCUCUUUCACCGAUGAAGAUAAUGACGGUAGUCGGAGAAGAAGCCCCGGCUAACUUCGUGCCAGCAGCCGCGGUAAAAC